rnacentral:tRNA from 2 species
GCCCUCAUCGUCUAGUCUGGCCUAGGACGCCACCCUUUCAAGGUGGAGAUCAGGGGUUCGAAUCCCCUUGAGGGCACCA